rnacentral:rRNA from 1 species
GACGAACGCUGGCGGCGUGCCUAAUACAUGCAAGUAGAACGCUGAAGAGAGGAGCUUGCUCUUCUUGGAUGAGUUGCGAACGGGUGAGUAACGCGUAGGUAACCUGCCUUGUAGCGGGGGAUAACUAUUGGAAACGAUAGCUAAUACCGCAUAACAAUGGAUGACACAUGUCAUUUAUUUGAAAGGGGCAAUUGCUCCACUACAAGAUGGACCUGCGUUGUAUUAGCUAGUAGGUGAGGUAAUGGCUCACCUAGGCGACGAUACAUAGCCGACCUGAGAGGGGGAGCGGCCACACUGGGACUGGGACACGGCCCAGACUCCUACGGGAGGCAGCAGUAGGGAAUCUUCGGCAAUGGGGGCAACCCUGACCGAGCAACGCCGCGUGAGUGAAGAAGGGUUUCGGAUCGUAAAGCUCUGUUGUAAGUCAAGAACGGGUGUGAGAGUGGAAAGUUCACACUGUGACGGUAGCUUACCAGAAAGGGACGGCUAACUACGUG